UACGGAGGAUGCGAGCGUUAUCCGGAUUUAUUGGGUUUAAAGGGUGCGUAGGCGGAUCGUUAAGUCAGUGGUCAAAUUGAGGGGCUCAACCCCUUCCCGCCAUUGAAACUGGCGUUCUUGAGUGGAAGAGAAGUAUGCGGAAUGCGUGGUGUAGCGGUGAAAUGCAUAGAUAUCACGCAGAACCCCGAUUGCGAAGGCAGCAUGCCGGCUUCCUACUGACGCUGAAGCACGAAAGCGUGGGGAUCGAACAGG
rnacentral:rRNA from 1 species